AUUGAACGCUGGCGGCAGGCUUAACACAUGCAAGUCGAACGAGUGGCGGACGGGUGAGUAAUGUAUGGGAAUCUAGCUUAUGGAGGGGGAUAACUACGGGAAACUGUAGCUAAUACCGCGUACUAUUGGAUGAGCCCAAGUGGGAUUAGGUAGUUGGUGGGGUAAAGGCUCACCAAGCCGACGAUCCCUAGCUGGUCUGAGAGGAUGACCAGCCACACUGGGACUGAGACACGGCCCAGACUCCGACGGGAGGCAGCAGUGGGGAAUAUUGCGCAAUGGGGGCAACCCUGAUGCAGCCAUGCCGCGUGUAUGAAGAAGGCCUUCGGGUUGUAAAGUACUUUCAGUCGGGAAGCGUUACCGACAGAAGAAGCACCGGCUAACUCCGUGCCAGCAGCCGCGGUAAUAC
rnacentral:rRNA from 1 species